GGAAGUUUGCUCACAUUUACAGCGGUGACAAUGAGAGACCGUGACAAGGACACGUUGGUGCCAGACUCAUCCUGACUGCUGGGAGGAUGGCGGGGGGAUCCCCACUCACCCCUGCUUGGCAUAGCUGGGCAUCCCUGCUGUACCCUGCAGUUAACGCUCAGUGCUGCUGCAACACCACAGCCUGCUGACGGGCACCGUGGAGCAUGCCAGGCUCCAGAGAAAGUGCCACCUCGAAAGCUGCACCCCCCUCCAGACGCUGCUGCCAUCAGACACAGGUACCCAGGAGCACUCCAUUAGCGUGCAGCACUGAGAUGCUCGCCAGUCCAUCUCUAUGGAUAUAACAAAAGAAAUCUACCAUCUGAACUACAGCCAUCGGGACGAGGUGUCGCCCGGCUGCGCCGCGCAGGGAUCCGGCUGGAGGAACGCGCAGGUCUUCAUGCGUCGUCGGCCCCAGGACUGCCUGAGCCUGCUGGAGAUUGCCCUGGUGUUAAAUACUAUGGGGUGCAUCCAUAGCCUAAGCUGCAAACCCAAAGUCUUCCGAGAGACUAUCGCCGUGCUGGACGUCAAAGCCUCCAUCGACUCCACCCCCACCAGCAUCGACGAAUCCUCCAGCGUCGUCCUCCGAUACAGGACCCCACAUUUCCGAGCCAGCGCCCAAGUCCUGGUGCCUCCGAUUUCUGGGAAAGACUCGUGGAGAGUGGGCUGGAUCCAGGCCUGUAACCACAUGGAGUUCUACAACCACUACGGGGACCUGGGAAUGUCUAGUUGGGAACUUCCGGAUCUCCUGAGUGGCAAGAUCCCCGCCAUCAGUGACUCAGAUGGCGUCAACUACCCCUGGUAUGGCAAUACCACCGAGACCUGCACUGUUACCGGCCCCACCAAGCGGGACACCAAGUUUACCGUCAGUAUGAAUGACAACUUCUACCCGAGCGUGACGUGGGCAGUGCCUGUCAGCGCUUCCAAUGUGCCUAUGUUGACUGGCAUCCAGAGGGACCAAAGUUUUACCACUUGGCUGGUGGCCAUCAACCUGUCCAGCGGUGACCUGGUCAUCCUGCACACCAUCAAGUGGAGGAUGAAACUGGAGAUCGAGGUCAAGCCGACCUUACCGCUGGGACAACGAGCCAAACUACAGGAACCUUUUGCACAGGAACAGCCACGAGUCCUCAACAAGAACGAGCCCGUACCUCCCAGCGCUCUUGUGAAACCAAAUGCCAACGAUGCCCAGGUGCUUAUGUGGAGGCCUAAGAACAAACCAGCCGUGGUCGUGAUACCCCCAAAAAGGCGGUGAACCCAGCAAACCAGGCAAUAGCUGCUAAGUAAAUAGACCUAACAACCAAAAUCCUCGCCCAAGGUCCUGCUGUUAUUUUGUGCAGUUCUCAGGGCAUCACUGUGGUAUUUUAUGCUGGUGGACCUUGGUUUGGGACACGAUGACACUGAAGGUGGUAGUUUCUGUAGACCCUCCACCAGCUUUUAUCGGGCGCCCGGACUGCCCGCUGCACUGCUCCAUGUCAGGUUGGACGUAGAGUCCAUUCUUUCCCAUGACGCAUGAAGCUCGAGAUGUUCUCCGUACUUCAUUCUCAUGUGAUAUUUAUGACUUUUUUUUCCCCCCACAAAUGUUGUUCUCAUCGUCAAGAAGUUGCCAAAAGAUCCUCAGCUCCCUCAACCCCCUAAGAGGCACUGUUCUUGUCUGCCUUUCAUAAAGAUGGAGGACUUUGGAGUAGACCUUAGUGAAGCUGAGCAAUGGGUGGAGACCUUGAUGAACCUCAGGUAUUGGAGUAAGCUUUAGUGUAGCUAUAGUAUGAGGUGGGCUUUAUUGAAGCCGAGGUAUGAGGUGGGCUUUACUUAAGCUGAGGUAUGAGGUGGGCUUUAUUAAAGCUGAGGUAUGAGGUUUGUAGUGCGGCAUGGCUGAUGGAAUGCUGUUGAUAGGCCAAUCUCAGGGGUAAUCUAGUCCAUAGAUAGCAGGGGGAUGGGCGAGCAUUGCAGGGCAUUGCUUCCAUGUCCCUUUUACUUGAUGCAGCUGCUUAUUUAUUUUUUGAGAAUUAUGGUACAAAUGAUAACACAUGAGGCGCUGCCAUGUCAGGAGAGCAUCCCAGGGCGGCCAUCAGGGUGGUACUGGCGGUACUGCAGUCAGGGGCCCGGACUGAUCGGUGACAUUGGCAGCCUCAUGAAUAUUCACUUCUGUGCAGUAUUAGUAAAGCAGCAUCUCUGGCUUCCGAUGGUUGGGGGCCCUUCCCCAGCACAUAGAUGUUUUACUAAAGAAACAAAUUGACAGACGCUCUGUGCAGCAGGCAGAAGACUCACCAUCACCCUAUAGACCUGCCAUUCUGAGGAGAUAGUAUUUUUUUGUGCUUAAGGAGCUGUUUUCUUCAGACAUAAUAUUAAAUAAAUAGUAUAUUACUGAAAUGGAGAAAACUUACGGCAUUUUUAUUUACACUGUUUACCCAUCACCAUAAAUAACGUGUUCACAAAACGGUAGAAGUUAACAAAAAUGUAUUCAUUUCCUGUAGCCCGUAGGCAGCACAGUCACGAAUGGGUUAAAGUCCUCUGGGUACAACUAGACAGAGACAGGUUAAUAAACAGCAGUCCAAUCGCCACGGCCCCUAUAAACCUCAGCAGGAGGAAGGCGCCGGUGUCCUUCAGUUGUGCCGCCUACGGACUGCAGGAAAUCACAAUUUCAGGUAAAUACAUUUUCGUUUUCCUGGAUGUCCUACGGCAGCACGGUCACGAAUGGGACUUAUUAAGCAGUGUAUGUUGUGAGGAUGCCCAGCUGGUGAUCUAUGGCGAAGAUGGUGACCAGUGGUACGUGCCCCAGAUCAGCCCAGUGUGCAGAGGGACUGAUGAAACUGGUAGCAUUUCUCAACAGAUCCCCUGAGCUGGUGGCAUUACUUGUUCUCUGGCCCUUAUUGUGUCCUUGAUGCUGAAGAAACAGGGUCUCCGAUGUUCUGAAGGGAACUGUCCUUUCCAUAUAUAUUAAAGGGUUUGUCCCACCA